GACGAACGCUGGCGGCGUGCUUAACACAUGCAAGUCGAACGGAAAGGCCCUGCUUUUGUGGGGGGCUCGAGUGGCGAACGGGUGAGUAACACGUGAGUAACCUGCCCUUGACUUUGGGAUAACUUCAGGAAACUGGGGCUAAUACCGGAUAGGGGCUCCUGCUGCAUGGUGGGGGUUGGAAAGUUUCGGCGGUUGGGGGUGGACUCGCGGCUUAUCAGCUUGUUGGUGGGGUAGUGGCUUACCAAGGCUUUGACGGGUAGCCGGCCUGAGAGGGUGACCGGCCACAUUGGGACUGAGAUACGGCCCAGACUCCUACGGGAGGCAGCAGUGGGGAAUAUUGCACAAUGGGCGGAAGCCUGAUGCAGCAACGCCGCGUGCGGGAUGACGGCCUUCGGGUUGUAAACCGCUUUCGCCUGUGACGAAGCGUGAGUGACGGUAAUGGGUAAAGAAGCACCGGCUAACUACGUG
rnacentral:rRNA from 1 species